rnacentral:rRNA from 1 species
UACGGAGGGUGCAAGCGUUAUCCGGAUUCACUGGGUUUAAAGGGUGCGUGGGUGGGCUUGUAAGUCAGUGGUGAAAUCUCCGGGCUUAACCCGGAAACUGCCAUUGAUACUAUAGGUCUUGAAUCAUCUGGAGGUGAGCGGAAUAUGUCAUGUAGCGGUGAAAUGCUUAGAUAUGACAUAGAACACCGAUUGCGAAGGCAGCUCACUACUCAAUCAUUGACUCUGAGGCACGAAAGCGUGGGGAUCAAACAGG